UACGUAGGGUCCGAGCGUUGUCCGGAAUUACUGGGCGUAAAGAGCUCGUAGGUGGUUUGUCGCGUUGUUCGUGAAAACUCACAGCUCAACUGUGGGCGUGCGGGCGAUACGGGCAGACUAGAGUACUGCAGGGGAGACUGGAAUUCCUGGUGUAGCGGUGAAAUGCGCAGAUAUCAGGAGGAACACCGGUGGCGAAGGCGGGGUCUCUGGGCCGAUACUGACGCUGAGGAGCGAAAGCGUGGGGAGCGAACAGG
rnacentral:rRNA from 1 species